rnacentral:rRNA from 1 species
GAUCUCUAAAUUUACUUGGAUAACUGUGGUAAUUCUAGAGCUAAUACAUGCAGUUAAGCUCUGACCUUACGGGACGAGCGCAUUUAUUAGAUCAAAACCAAUCGGGCUUCGGCCUGAGUUUUGGUGACUCUGAAUAACUUUGCUGAUCGCACGGUCUCGUACCGGCGACGCAUCCUUCAAGUGUCUGCCUUAUCAACUGUCGAUGGUAGUUUAUGUGCCUACCAUGGUUGUAACGGGUAACGGAGAAUAAGGGUUCGACUCCGGAGAGGGAGCCUGAGAAAUGGCUACCACAUCCAAGGAAGGCAGCAGGCGCGCAAAUUACCCACUCUCAGCACGAGGAGGUAGUGACGAAAAAUAACGAGACGGAUCUCUAUGAGGCCCGUUAUCGGAAUGAGAACAAUUCAAAUCCUUUAACGAGGAUCUAGCGGAGGGCAAGUCUGGUGCCAGCAGCCGCGGUAAUUCCAGCUCUGCAAGUGUAUAUCUAUGCUGCUGUGGUUAAAAAGCUCGUAGUUGGAUCUGCGUGCUCGGUACUGGUCGACUCAC